AUUGAACGCUGGCGGCAUGCCUUACACAUGCAAGUCGAACGGUAACAGGUCUUCGGAUGCUGACGAGUGGCGAACGGGUGAGUAAUACAUCGGAACGUGCCCGAGAGUGGGGGAUAACGAAGCGAAAGCUUUGCUAAUACCGCAUACGAUCUCAGGAUGAAAGCAGGGGACCGCAAGGCCUUGCGCUCACGGAGCGGCCGAUGGCAGAUUAGGUAGUUGGUGGGAUAAAAGCUUACCAAGCCGACGAUCUGUAGCUGGUCUGAGAGGACGACCAGCCACACUGGGACUGAGACACGGCCCAGACUCCUACGGGAGGCAGCAGUGGGGAAUUUUGGACAAUGGGCGCAAGCCUGAUCCAGCCAUGCCGCGUGCAGGAUGAAGGCCUUCGGUUGUAAACUGCUUUGUAGGAACGAAACGGCUCUGGUUAAUACCUGGGGCUAAAUGACGGUACCGUAAGAAUAAGCACCGGCUAACU
rnacentral:rRNA from 1 species